GAUGAACGCUGGCGGCGUGCCUAAUACAUGCAAGUCGAGCGAACAGACGAGGAGCUUUCUCCUCUUACGUUAGCGGCGGACGGGUGAGUAACACGUGGAUAACCUACCUAUAAGACUGGGAUAACUUCGGGAAACCGGAGCUAAUACCGGAUAAUAUAUUCAACCGCAUGGUUCAAUAGUGAAAGACGUUUUUCCUGUCACUUAUAGAUGGAUCCGCGCCGCAUUAGCUAGUUGGUAAGGUAACGGCUUACCAAGGCGACGAUUCGUAGCCGACCUGAGAGGGUGAUCGGCCACACUGGAACUGAGACACGGUCCAGACUCCUACGGGAGGCAGCAGUAGGGAAUCUUGCGCAAUGGGCGCAAGCCUGACGGAGCAACGCCGCGUGAGUGAUGAAGGUCUUCGGAUCGUAAAACUCUGUUAUUAGGGAAGAACAAAUGUGUAAGUAACUAUGCACGUAUUGACGGUACCUAAUCAGAAAGCCACGGCUAACUCCGUG
rnacentral:rRNA from 1 species